GAUACCUGUUCUGGGAAUAUUCCACUUACUACAGGCUUCCUCUCUGGGGAAGCACGGCAAGAGAAAAAUUGGCCAUUUAAUGAAAUAGAGGCCGCUGAAGCAUUCCUGAUGAAAAGACAAGAGCUGAGAAGAAAAUGUGACUCGCAAACUGAAGACUGAAAAGCAGCAUUCAAAGGAAUGAAAAAAUCAACACAACUAUAUAAUCCAGAGUGGAAAAGAUAUUUGUGGUAGGAGAUAAUCUUUCUGGGAACUUUCCUAUUCCUGGAGGAUCACUGUCUCUCAAAGCACUUCUAAUCUCUGCACGUGGAGGGAAAUAUACCUGUCAUACAUGAUAAUCUCUGAAUAUUCAGAGGAAAAGACUUGUGAUAGGAGAUAAUCUUUCUGCAAAUAUUCCCAUUCCUGGAGGAUCACUCUCUCUUGAAGCACUUCUAAUCUCUAAACAUGGAGGGAAAAAUACCUGUGAUACCUGAUAAUCUCUGAAUAUUCAGAGGAAAAGACUUGUGGUAGGAGAUAAUCUUUCUGUAAAUAUUCCCAUUCCUGGAGGAUCACUCUCUCUUGAAGCACUUCUAAUCUCUAAACAUGGAUGGAAAAAUGCCUGUCAUACCUGAUAAUCUCUGAAGAUUCAGAGGAAAAGACUUGUGGUAGGAGAUAAUCUCUCUGAAAGCAUUCCUACUUGUGAAGCUUCGUUCUGGCUUGAACAACUUCUGAUCUCUGAACACACACAACAAAAAACACUUGUGGAGGGCAACAAUCUUUCUGAGAACAUUCCAAUUACUACCCUCUCGGGGGAAGCACCCCUAAUCUCUGAAGAUUCUGAGGAAAAGACACGUGUGGAUGGAGGAGAUAAUCUU